rnacentral:lncRNA from 1 species
UUUAACAGAAUUUUUCAGUUUGAUUUGGUCCUCAUGGACUUGUUCUGGAGUGAGCGGCACUAAGGUGAGUUUCUUUCCUUGAUGCUUGAAAGAAUACCUAUUGGUACGACCAUCGUGAGUGACUUUUCGAUCCAGUUGCCAUGGUUCUCCUAGCAACAAAUGACAGGCUUGAAUAGGCAUUACGUCGCACACAACUUCGUCUUGAUACUUACCGAUAGAAAAGGCGAUGCGCACUUGUUGAGUGACCCUAAAUUGGCCUUUGUUGCUAAGCCCUUGUAGUUGAUAAGGUUGUGGAUGCUUGGUAGUGGUUAAGCAAAGCUUUUCCACCAUCGUCGUGCUGGCUAUGUUCGAGCAACUUUCACCAUCAAUAAUAACUCUACAAAGCUUACCUUGUACAUGGCAGCGAGUAUGAAAGAGAUGUUCUCGUUGCUGCUCGCUCUUUGGUUUUGCCAAAGAUGAUUGUCCACGAUCAUGAAAAUCAUCAUCCAUUCUAGUGACACGUCGAGGGCCGCGCCUCUGGGGUUGGUUAUCCCUAUCUUCUUUGAUUGGAUUUCGAUAUUGAGGUUCUUGAUUCAAUUGCACCUCAUUGAUGGUAGCAGUCAAAGCUCGAAGAGCAGCAGCCUGUUCAUCCAACUGUUGUUGGAAUUUUUUAAAUAUGUCACUAUUAUUAUCACCUGUAGACAUUUUUUUUAAAACCUGCAAAACACUCAACACUCAAAAAUAAAAGUUAUCAAACCUCACCGUUAAUCACUCAAAAAGAAAAAAUCAAAUUCUCAAUGAGGUCGAAUUCAAUCUUGUGAGUUCUUUAUCAGAGUUUAUAUCAACCAAUUAGAGAGUGUGAACCAAACUACCAAAGAAUCCUAAUUUGCACUAGGAUGCCAAAAACUGACGAGACACCAAUUAAUUCGUGUUGCACCGAGGAAGAAGUUGUGCACACGUUUAAAUCCUACUAACACAAGAACCAAGAAGGUGUUAGAUAACGUAAAGGAAGAAUAAAGGUAAACAAAUGAAAACCUACAGCUAAGAAUCAAUAAAAAUUGCUGAAAACAGAAAACCCGAAAAACUGCGGAGUAACUUGACAACUUCGUUCGAGGUGUUCCCGAUCUCCAAAAAUCACGAAAUUAAAUCUGGAGUGUCCUUAUAUAUUGAAUUUUUGAUCUGGAAAUUUUGGGCACCAAAUUAAACCCGCUGAAUCUUUUUUUUUAAAUUUUUAUUGAAUUUCGUAUUUUUUUUAUUUAUUUUUGACUUUUUUGACUGAUUUUUUGCGGGAAUAAUUUUUUUAUAUUCAAUCACAGUGCUAAAAACAUGUAUGUAAAAUUUCAGAUCAAUCGGACAACGUUUACCCACUCAAAUGAAUUUUUUUUGAACAAUUUUUUGGGUAAAACUGCUGUUUAUGCUUUAAAAAAUAGAGAUCAGUUUAGAAAUCAACCAAGAACACCCAAAACGCCCAAAAUCUGAUACCAAAUGAUACGGGGUUGCGCGCGGACCAAGAUCGAGUUGCCAAGUCACGAGAAACUCCUACGAAAACCCUAAACAAUUAGAUCUGAAACGAAACAGAAAAUUAAAAGAUUAGAUUUUUGAAUUUUCAGAUCUGAAAUAAAAUCCCCAAAUCAGCAAAGAAUCAAAUUGAGAAUAGAAAUAAGUGUUAAUAAGGAAUCUUGAAACCCUAGAAGAGAUUGCGAUUCUGCCCAAUUGAACACCCAGAUAGUUUUCCCCAAAUUUCGGCAAUCUAAUUUCUCCCAAAAAGAGUAUGGAUGAAUCGGCAAGAACCCUAAAAAUUAGGGAUUUUUGGGCUAAUUCCUUAAGAUAGAAAAAGGCUGAAAACACAAUAAGAACAGAAAAUAAAUUAGAUAAAGAUUCGGCACAAGCAGAAAUAAAGAAAGAAUUGACAGUAAGAAAUUAAAAGAUAAGUCCUAAGAAGCCUUGAAAUCUCGAAAGAUCUCACAACUCCCUUCAAACGGCUCUAAUCUCCCCUCCAAAGAAUAUCAAUGGCAAGAAGAAGGUUGAAGAUGGCUCCCACAAUCACAAGAUUGUUAAAACAACUUCUAAAGAAAACUCAAGAGAGAAAUCUUGGAGAAAACUCAAAGAAAAUUCUGCUCUCAACAAAUCUGAAAUUUUAAUAAUAAUGAUAAGUGUUUAACAAGGUGGACAGCCAUGCCUUUAAAUAGGCAUUAUAACUAGUCCUAAUCUAAUUAGAAAACUAAAAUAAAAAAAACUCCUAAUUAUUUUAAUAUGGAAAUUCGGUCAAAGGUCAUUUUAUCUGGGACUCUUGGACUGAAUAUUGACAUAAAAAUUUAAACUAAGUAAAUAAAUAAAUAAAUAAAUAAAAAUAAAAAUAAAACUUUACAACUUGGGCCACUUUGACAAUUUGGCCUGAUUUUCAACUAAGUAUGGAUGGAUUUCUUGAUUGGGCUGGGAAUUUACUUAUUGGGCCUCGCCUUCAAGAAUUUGGGCUUUUGUGACUCGUAUCAUUCCCCCCUUCCUCAAAAAGAUUCGUCCUCGAAUCUGAAAAAUCAAAUGAACUCGACUUUCCUCUAUCGAACGGGACUAAUGGCAAUUGAGUCCACUGAAAAGAAUAGCCAUGAGAUAGUAAAUAGCAACGGAAACAAGCUUAUAGUCCAAUCAUAAGCAUAACAGAACAGGUAUAACGCAUGUGAAUGGACAGAUUCAGAUUACCAUGCAAACAAUCUAAUUUACUCACCACUGCCUCGUCAAAUAUUUGAAACAAAGAUGGACAUGUUUUAAGGCAUUCAGUCGUCUCACAUUGUUCCCACAAACCAUGAAUAAAUUGCGAGUAAUAAAUCAAAUGGUAAACAUAAUUGUCACAAGUAGGUAUUUGAAAAGAUUCACAUGGUUCACAGAGUUGCAUAAUCAUACCAUGUAUUAAUCGACGGUCUAUAGAUUCACUCACACAUGCAUUAUCAAAAACAAGAAUCUUUUUAUCAACCAUCAAAAUAGAUAGAAUAAAUAAAAUAGGACAGUCAAGCACGUUUCGAUCUAAGUGUUCAUCAACACGAUCUUUAUCACUAUCCGAGGAGUACAAAAGUGUUUCAAAGGUUUCAAGCAUCUUACCUCGAUAAGCAGAAGAAUAAGGGUCGAUUUUACCUUUUUCAUUUAAAACAAACCUUCGCUCAUCGGGGGCAUAGUGUAGUCGAAUUUCCGUUGUUGAGUUAACCUUUGUCAAAUGGAACUCAAACUUCAUGUACAACCACAUAAACUGUUUAAGGCACGAAUAUAAAUUGAAAACAAAUUUGGAAAAUUUCGUUACCUUAUUCUCCAAAACAGAUUUGGACAAAUUCGAGGAUUUUACACAAGGUAAAUCAAGAGAAUAACAAAUCACGCUUCUUUUCGUAAUGACUUUAUCAACCACAAUCGAAGAGUAACAAUUAAUCGGAUCAAAAUGAGGGGAUCUUUUAAGAACUAAGUCACCAAAAGUUUUAUCAAUAAUUUUCAAAUCUGCACUGGACUCGGUUUCUAAAAUUUCCUUACCUCGCUUACCUUCGGGAUCAUGUAGUGUGAUUUCAUCUUUGCCUAAGUUGAUCGUAUGAAAGCGUCUUUCAUUUGAGAGGUAUUGAAGUUGAAAGUUAUCUUUCGAUCUUUCAGGAACCUGAAAAGUAGCAACACAAGAAAAAUUCAUAUCUUGGUUAGUAGAAACAUUCCUCACUAGCCUUUCCUCGUCUUUUUCUUUUGUUUCUUUUUCUAACUCAUUUUCUCUUCUUUCUUCAACUUCUUUUUCAAAUUUCUUUUCUGUUUCACAUUCCUUUUCACUCUCAAUCUCUUUUUGCUCUUUUUCAUUCUUUUUUUCUUUUUCCUCACUUGUUUUAACAGAAUUUUUCAGUUUGAUUUGGUCCUCAUGGACUUGUUCUGGAGUGAGCGGCACUAAGGUGAGUUUCUUUCCUUGAUGCUUGAAAGAAUACCUAUUGGUACGACCAUCGUGAGUGACUUUUCGAUCCAGUUGCCAUGGUUCUCCUAGCAACAAAUGACAGGCUUGAAUAGGCAUUACGUCGCACACAACUUCGUCUUGAUACUUACCGAUAGAAAAGGCGAUGCGCACUUGUUGAGUGACCCUAAAUUGGCCUUUGUUGCUAAGCCCUUGUAGUUGAUAAGGUUGUGGAUGCUUGGUAGUGG